rnacentral:rRNA from 1 species
GAUGAACGCUGGCGGCGCGCCUAACACAUGCGAGUCGAACGAUUAAAGCACCUUCGGGUGUGUAUAAAGUGGCGAACGGCUGAGUAACACGUGGGCAACCUGCCCCUUUCAUUGGGAUAGCCACGGGAAACCGUGGAUAAUGCCGAAUACUUCGAGACUUCCGCAUGGAAGACUCGAGAAAGCUCCGGCGGAGAGGGAUGGGCCCGCGGCCUGUUAGCUUGUUGGUGGGGUAACGGCCUACCAAGGCAAUGAUGGGUAGCUGGGUUGAGAGACCGACCAGCCAGAUUGGGACUGAGACACGGCCCAGACUCCUACGGGAGGCAGCAGUGGGGAAUCUUGCACAAUGGGCGAAAGCCUGAUGCAGCGACGCCGCGUGCGGGAUGAAGGCCUUCGGGUUGUAAACCGCUCUCAGCAGGGACGAGGCGAAAGUGACGGUACCUGCAGAAGAAGCCCCGGCUAACUACGUG